rnacentral:rRNA from 1 species
CCUACGGGUGGCAGCAGUGGGGAAUAUUGGACAAUGGGCGAAAGCCUGAUCCAGCCAUGCCGCGUGUGUGAAGAAGGCCUUCGGGUUGUAAAGCACUUUCAGUGGGGAAGAAAGCCUUGGGGCUAAUACCCUCGAGGAAGGACAUCACCCACAGAAGAAGCACCGGCUAACUCCGUGCCAGCAGCCGCGGUAAUACGGAGGGUGCGAGCGUUAAUCGGAAUUACUGGGCGUAAAGCGCGCGUAGGCGGUCUGAUAAGCCGGUUGUGAAAGCCCCGGGCUCAACCUGGGAACGGCAUCCGGAACUGUCAGGCUAGAGUGCAGGAGAGGAAGGUAGAAUUCCCGGUGUAGCGGUGAAAUGCGUAGAGAUCGGGAGGAAUACCAGUGGCGAAGGCGGCCUUCUGGACUGACACUGACGCUGAGGUGCAAAAGCGUGGGUAGCAAACAGGAUUAGAUACCCGAGUAGUC